UCCGGAGGAUGCGAGCGUUAUCCGGAUUUAUUGGGUUUAAAGGGUGCGUAGGCGGAUCGUUAAGUCAGUGGUCAACUUGAGGGGCUCAACCCCUUCCCGCCAUUGAAACUGGCGAUCUUGAGUGGAAGAGAAGUAUGCGGAAUGCGUGGUGUAGCGGUGAAAUGCAUAGAUAUCGCGCAGAACCCCGAUUGCGAAGGCAGCGUACCGGCUCCACACUGACGCUGAGGCACGAAAGCGUGGGUAGCGAACAGG
rnacentral:rRNA from 1 species